UACGGAGGAUCCGAGCGUUAUCCGGAUUUAUUGGGUUUAAAGGGUGCGCAGGCGGGAGAUUAAGUCGGCGGUGAAAUUUUGCAGCUCAACUGUAAAAGUGCCUUCGAAACUGGUUUCCUUGAGUGUAGAUGAAGUAGGCGGAAUUUGUGGUGUAGCGGUGAAAUGCAUAGAUAUCACGAGGAACUCCGAUUGCGCAGGCAGCUUACUAAACUACUACUGACGCUCAGGCACGAAGGCGUGGGGAGUCAAACAUGAUUAGAUACCCU
rnacentral:rRNA from 1 species